rnacentral:rRNA from 1 species
UACGUAGGGUGCGAGCGUUGUCCGGAUUUAUUGGGCGUAAAGCGCACGCAGGCGGUCUCUUAAGUUUCGAGUGACAGGUGGUGGCUCAACUGCCACAGGCCUUGGAAAACUGGGAGACUUGAGGACUUCAGAGGGAUGCGGAAUUCCAGGUGGAGCGGUGAAAUGCGUAGAGAUGUGGAGGAACACCAGUGGCGAAGGCGACUCUUUGGCCUGUAACUGACGCUGAGGCGCGAAAGCGUGGGGAGCAAACAGG